rnacentral:rRNA from 1 species
UCGCGAGAGUAAGCUAAUCUCUUAAAGCCGUUCUCAGUUCGGACUGUAGGCUGCAACUCGCCUACACGAAGUCGGAAUCGCUAGUAAUCGCGGAUCAGCAUGCCGCGGUGAAUACGUUCCCGGGCCUUGUACACACCGCCCGUCACACCAUGGGAGUUUGUAACGCCCAAAGUCGGUGGCCUAACCUCUAUGGAGGGAGCCGCCUAAGGCGGGACAGAUGACUGGGGUGAAGUCGUAACAAGGUAAC